rnacentral:rRNA from 1 species
AUGGGAGGUGAGAUGAUACCAUCUUUGGCUAGAGUGGAAGGAAAAUUAAAGGGUCUGCAGCUCUCGGAGGCGGAGAGGAAAGUGGUAAAAAUCGGGGAAAAUGCAAACUUCAUGACAGUGGGCAAGCUCCAGGCAGUGGGGAAACUGUUGUCGGAUAGAUCGGCGAAAGCUGAACAUCUAGGGAAGACUCUGGCUGGAGUCUGGUGCCCCUUCUCUGGUUUGGAGUGUAAAGAUCUUGGUAAGAACCGGUUCUUGUUUUCUUUCCGUGAAGAAAAGGGGAAAAAGACGGCAGUAGAUAAUGGACCGUGGUUUUUCAAUAAAAGCUUGCUAGUGGUGGAAGAUUUUGCACCAAAUAAAACUAUAGAUGAUUACCAAUUUAAGAUGAUACCAAUAUGGGUUAGGCUAUAUGGUAUUCCAAUGGGGAUGAUGGAUAGAGAAACAGGGGCUCUGAUUGGGGAACAAAUCGGAGAAGUAUUAGAUAUGGAUCUGGAUGACAAUGGCUUUGCAUUUGGGCAAUUUAUGAGGAUCAAAGUAUGA